AAUGCAGGCGGGACAACGACGAAGACGACGACGACGACGACGACGACGACAUGGACCGUGCUCCCGAUAGCGAACCCUUACAUUCAUCAGAACUUGUGACCGUGUGAUGGAUGCAGUUUCCUGGGGUGCAGUUUUGGCGAACCGGAGGAUCCGGUUCUGGCCGAGCAGGGUCAGCUCGAAGAUCUGUAGCUGAACAUGUGGCUGGCCCUGAGCUCUCGGUCUUUUGGUGAGUGAAAAAAUAGAACAAAUAAAGGAUAAUAUUGCUUUGGUGGUGGCUGUUUACAAAUUAUCAUUGAAAUCAAUGCGAUUGUAGAUUUUUGCAUGUUGGGUUUCGCACACACACACACAUAUAUAUAUAUAUAUAUAUCUGUGCUGUUCGGCAAAUUACACUGCUCGAAGUAAUCAGGAGAUCGCUUUUUUAUUGCUCGUAUAAUUUAAGAAAUACUUAAGCCAGAUCAUAUUUCUUCCUAAGAGAAAUUUGAACGUGAUCUCCUAAUUGGU